CCAGCUGUAAACGAUGCGCGUUAGGUGUAUCGGUGACCACGAGUCACCGAGGUGCCGAAGGGAAACCGUGAAACGUGCCGCCUGGGAAGUACGGUCGCAAGGCUGAAACUUAAAGGAAUUGGCGGGGGAGCACCACAACAGGUGGAGCCUGCGGUUUAAUCGGACUCAACGCCGGGAAGCUCACCGGAUAAGACAGCUGAAUGAUAGCCGGGUUGAAGACUCUGCUUGACUAGCUGAGAGGAGG
rnacentral:rRNA from 1 species